GAUAAACGCUGGCGGCGCACAUAAGACAUGCAAGUCGAACGAACUUAAUACCUUGCUUGCAAGGUAAGCGGUUAGUGGCGGACUGGUGAGUAACACGUAAGAAAUCUGCCUAUCAGAGGGGAAUAACAGUGAGAAAUCACUGCUAAUACCGCAUAUGCCAUAGGAAUCGCAUGAUUCUAGUGGGAAAGGAGCAAUCCGCUGAUAGAUGAGCUUGCGUCUGAUUAGCUAGUUGGUGGGGUAAAGGCCUACCAAGGCGACGAUCAGUAGCCGGACUGAGAGGUUGAACGGCCACAUUGGGACUGAGAUACGGCCCAGACUCCUACGGGAGGCAGCAGUCGGGAAUAUUGCGCAAUGGAGGAAACUCUGACGCAGUGACGCCGCGUAUAGGAAGAAGGUUUUCGGAUUGUAAACUAUUGUCCACAGGGAAGAUAAAAGACUGUACCUGUGAAGAAAGCUCCGGCUAACUACGUGCCAGCAGCCGCGGUAAUACGUAGGGAGCAAGCGUUAUCCGGAAUUAUUGGGUGUAAAGGGUGCGUAGACGGGAUAACAAGUUAGUUGUGAAACCCCCCGGCUCAACUGAGGAACUGCAACUAAAACUAUUAUUCUUGAGUGCAGGAGAGGAAAGUGGAAUUCCUAGUGUAGCGGUGAAAUGCGUAGAUAUUAGGAAGAACACCGGUGGCGAAGGCGACUUUCUGGACUGUAACUGACGUUGAGGCACGAAAGUGUGGGGAGCAAACAGGAUUAGAUACCCUGGUAGUCCACACUGUAAACGAUGGAUACUAGGUGUAGGGAGAUAUUAAAGCUUCUGUGCCGUCGCUAACGCAGUAAGUAUCCCACCUGGGGAGUACGACCGCAAGGUUGAAACUCAAAGGAAUUGACGGGGGCCCGCACAAGCAGUGGAGUAUGUGGUUUAAUUCGAAGCAACGCGAAGAACCUUACCAGGGCUUGACAUACAAGUGAAUGUCUAAGAGAUUAGGCAGUAUUUCGGUACACUUGUACAGGUGGUGCAUGGUUGUCGUCAGCUCGUGUCGUGAGAUGUUAGGUUAAGUCCUGCAACGAGCGCAACCCCUAUACUUAGUUGCCAGCACGUAAAGGUGGGAACUCUAAGUAGACUGCCGGUGAUAAAUCGGAGGAAGGUGGGGACGACGUCAAAUCAUCAUGCCCUUUAUGUCCUGGGCUACACACGUACUACAAUGGCUAUAACAAAGAGAAGCGAGACGGAGACGUUAAGCGAAACCCAAAAAAGUAGUCUCAGUUCGGAUUGAAGGCUGAAAUUCGCCUUCAUGAAGCCGGAAUUGCUAGUAAUGGCAGGUCAGCAUACUGCCGUGAAUACGUUCCCGGGCCUUGUACACACCGCCCGUCACACCAUGAGAGUUGGGAAUACCCGAAGCCUGUGAGCUAACGUAAGAGGCAGCAGUCGAAGGUAGAAUCAAUGAUUGGGGUG
rnacentral:rRNA from 1 species